AAUCAACGCUGGCGGCGUGCCUCAGACAUGCAAGUCGAACGAUUAAAGCUCUCUUCGGAGAGUGUAUAGAGUGGCGCACGGGUGAGUAACACGUAAGUAAUCUACCUUCGAGUGGGAUAACGUCCGGAACGGACGCUAAUACCGCAUAAUGCAGCGGCAUCGCAAGAUGACAGUUGUUAAAGAAUUUAUUCGCUUGAAGAGGAGCUUGCGGCAGAUUAGCUAGUUGGUAAGGUAAUGGCUUACCAAGGCUACGAUCUGUAACCGGUCUAAGAGGACGGUCGGUCACACUGACACUGAAUAAACGGGUCAGACUCCUACGGGAGGCAGCAGUCGGGAAUUUUGGGC
rnacentral:rRNA from 1 species